rnacentral:rRNA from 1 species
UACGUAGGUGGCUAGCGUUGUCCGGAUUUACUGGGCGUAAAGAGCGCGCAGGCGGUCGUUCAAGUCGAGUGUGAAAGCCCCCGGCUCAACUGGGGAGGGUCACUCGAUACUGAUCGACUCGAAGGCAGGAGAGGGAAGCGGAAUUCCCGGUGUAGUGGUGAAAUGCGUAGAUAUCCGGAGGAACACCAGUGGCGAAGGCGGCUCGCUGGGCUCUACCUGACGCUGAGGCGCGAAAGCGUGGGGAGCGAACCGG